UUUAGUGCUAUGCGAUGGGAUCGCGUCCUAUCAGCUUGUUGGUGGGGUAAUGGCCUACCAAGGCGUCGACGGGUAGCCGGCCUGAGAGGGCGACCGGCCACAUUGGGACUGAGAUACGGCCCAGACUCCUACGGGAGGCAGCAGUGGGGAAUAUUGCACAAUGGGGGAAACCCUGAUGCAGCGACGCCGCGUGCGGGAUGACGGCCUUCGGGUUGUAAACCGCUUUUAUUGGGGAGCAAGCGUUUUGUGAGUGUACCUUUUGAAUAAGCACCGGCUAACUACGUGCCAGCAGCCGCGGUAAUACGUAGGGUGCAAGCGUUGUCCGGAAUUAUUGGGCGUAAAGAGCUCGUAGGCGGUUUGUCGCGUCUGGUGUGAAAGUCCAUCGCUUAACGGUGGAUCUGCGCUGGGUACGGGCAGGCUAGAGUGCAGUAGGGGAGACUGGAAUUCCCGGUGUAA
rnacentral:rRNA from 1 species